GUGUGUGGUGUGUGGUAGGAAAAGUAGGAAAGCAGAAAAGCCUGUUAGUUGGAUUGAGAUAUAUGUACAAUUUUGCGCUGUGUAGCUGUGUCUGCAAUGCUGACUUUGUGCUAUGCGGAUAAUCUCGCUUCGAUUCAGGCCUUGGAGCAUAACAUUACGCGAGCAAUUCGAGCAAGUCAUCGAAAAUUGGACUUAACAGAUUGACGAUCUGAGACGUAGCCUCGGCCAACAUUUGAAAGAGAAAUCAAAAAAUAAAUGCCAAAUAAUGUUCUUUCGUAUGAUAAUAAACAUUCCAGAUUAAGUUUGAA